AGGCUUAACACAUGCAAGUCGAACGGGCUUCUUCGGAAGUCAGUGGCAGACGGGUGAGUAACACGUGGGAACGUGCCCUUCGGUUCGGAAUAACUCAGGGAAACUUGAGCUAAUACCGGAUACGCCCUUAUGGGGAAAGGUUUACUGCCGAAGGAUCGGCCCGCGUCUGAUUAGCUUGUUGGUGGGGUAACGGCCUACCAAGGCGACGAUCAGUAGCUGGUCUGAGAGGAUGAUCAGCCACACUGGGACUGAGACACGGCCCAGACUCCUACGGGAGGCAGCAGUGGGGAAUAUUGGACAAUGGGCGCAAGCCUGAUCCAGCCAUGCCGCGUGAGUGAUGAAGGCCUUAGGGUUGUAAAGCUCUUUUGUCCGGGACGAUAAUGACGGUACCGGAAGAAUAAGCCCCGGCUAACUUCGUGCCAGCAGCCGCGGUAAUACGAAGGGGGCUAGCGUUGCUCGGAAUCACUGGGCGUAAAGGGCGCGUAGGCGGCCGAUUAAGUCGGGGGUGAAAGCCUGUGGCUCAACCACAGAAUUGCCUUCGAUACUGGUUGGCUUGAGACCGGAAGAGGACAGCGGAACUGCGAGUGUAGAGGUGAAAUUCGUAGAUAUUCGCAAGAACACCAGUGGCGAAGGCGGCUGUCUGGUCCGGUUCUGACGCUGAGGCGCGAAAGCGUGGGGAGCAAA
rnacentral:rRNA from 1 species